UGGGGAAUAUUGCACAAUGGGCGAAAGCCUGAUGCAGCAACGCCGCGCGAGCGAUGAAGGCCUUCGGGUCGUAGAGCUCUGUCCUCAAGGAAGAUAAUGACGGUAUGUGAGGAGGAAGCCCCGGCUAACUACGUGCCAGCAGCCGCGGUAAUACGUAGGGGGCGAGCGUUGUCCGGAUUUACUGGGCGUAAAGGGUGAGUAGGCGGUUGUAUAUGUCAGGUGUAAAAGGCUAUGGCUUAACCAUGGUUAGCACUUGAAACUGUACAACUUGAGUGCAGGAGAGGUAAGUGGAAUUCCUAGUGUAGCGGUGAAAUGCGUAGAUAUUAGGAGGAACACCAGUGGCGAAGGCGACUUACUGGACUGUAACUGACGCUGAGUCACGAAAGCGUGGGUAGCAAACAGG
rnacentral:rRNA from 1 species